GUUGUGGUUAAAAAGCUCGUAGUUGGAUCUCAACAGUCUUGAAGCGGUCAACUUUGUAGUUGUACUGCUUUGUAGACUGUGCUUUUGCUGGAGGUUAGGGGUGCUCUUAAUCGAGUGUCUCUGGAUGCCAGCAGGUUUACUUUGAAAAAAUUAGAGUGCUCAAAGCAGGCUAAAAUGCCUGAAUAUUCGUGCAUGGAAUAAUAGAAUAGGAUGUCGAUCCUAUUUUGUUGGUUUUCGGGACUUGACAUAAUGAUUAAUAGGGACAGUCGGGGGCAUUUGUAUUCAAACGACAGAGGUGAAAUUCUUGGACCGUUUGAAGACAAACUACUGCGAAAGCAUUUGCCAAGAAUGUUUUCAUUAAUCAAGAACGAAAGUUAGAGGUUCGAAGGCGAUUAGAUACCGCCCUAGUUCUAACCAUAAACGAUGCCAGCUAGCGAUCUGCCGCUGUUUUUACUGUAGACUCGGCAGGAAGCUUCCGGGAAACCAAAGCAUUUGGGUUCCAGGGGAAGUAUGGUUGCAAAGCUGAAACUUAAAGGAAUUGACGGAAGGGCACCACCAGGAGUGGAGCCUGUGGCUUAAUUUGACUCAACACGGGAAAUCUCACCAGGCCCGGACACUGGGAAGGAUUGACAGAU
rnacentral:rRNA from 1 species